GUAGUCCUGGCUGUAAACGAUGUCGAUUUGGAGGUUGUGCCCUUGAGGCGUGGCUUCCGGAGCUAACGCGUUAAAUCGACCGCCUGGGGAGUACGGCCGCAAGGUUAAAACUCAAAUGAAUUGACGGGGGCCCGCACAAGCGGUGGAGCAUGUGGUUUAAUUCGAUGCAACGCGAAGAACCUUACCUACUCUUGACAUCCAGAGAAUUCGCUAGAGAUAGCUUAGUGCCUUCGGGAACUCUGAGACAGGUGCUGCAUGGCUGUCGUCAGCUCGUGUUGUGAAAUGUUGGGUUAAGUCCCGCAACGAGCGCAACCCUUAUCCUUUGUUGCCAGCGAUUCGGUCGGGAACUCAAAGGAGACUGCCGGAGAUAAACCGGAGGAAGGUGGGGAUGACGUCAAGUCAUCAUGGCCCUUACGAGUAGGGCUACACACGUGCUACAAUGGCGUAUACAAAGAGAAGCGAACUCGCGAGAGCAAGCGGACCUCAUAAAGUACGUCGUAGUCCGGAUUGGAGUCUGCAACUCGACUCCAUGAAGUCGGAAUCGCUAGUAAUCGUAGAUCAGAAUGCUACGGUGAAUACGUUCCCGGGCCUUGUACACACCGCCCGUCACACCAUGGGAGUGGGUUGCAAAAGAAGUAGGUAGCUUAACCUUCGGGAGGGCGCUUACCACUUUGUGAUUCAUGACUGGGGUGAAGUCGUAACAAGGUAACCGUAGGGGAACCUGCGGCUGGAUCACCUCC
rnacentral:rRNA from 1 species